rnacentral:rRNA from 1 species
CCUACGGGUGGCAGCAGUGAGGAAUAUUGGUCAAUGGGCGAGAGCCUGAACCAGCCAAGUAGCGUGAAGGAUGACGGCCCUACGGGUUGUAAACUUCUUUUGUCAGGGAGCAAGUGGGUCCACGUGUGGAUAUUUGCAUGUACCCUAUGAAUAAGCAUCGGCUAACUCCGUGCCAGCAGCCGCGGUAAUACGGCGGAUGCGAGCGUUAUCCGGAUUUAUUGGGUUUAAAGGGUGCGUAGGUUGUUUUUUAAGUCAGCGGUGAAAGUUUGUGGCUCAACCAUAAAAUUGCCGUUGAAACUGGAAGACUUGAGUGUAGUUGAGGUAGGCGGAAUGCGUGGUGUAGCGGUGAAAUGCAUAGAUAUCACGCAGAACUCCGAUUGCGAAGGCAGCUUACUAAGCCAUAACUGACACUGAAGCACGAAAGCGUGGGGAUCAAACAGGAUUAGAUACCCGAGUAGUC